rnacentral:rRNA from 1 species
GAGUAAUGUCUUGGGGAUCUCGCCCGAUGGAGGGGGAUAACUACUGGAAACGGUAGCUAAUACCGCAUAACCUCGAAAGAGCAAAGUGGGGGACCUUCGGGCCUCACACCAUCGGAUGAACCCAGAUGGGAUUAGCUAGUAGGUGGGGUAACGGCUCACCUAGGCGACGAUCCCUAGCUGGUCUGAGAGGAUGACCAGCCACACUGGAACUGAGACACGGUCCAGACUCCUACGGGAGGCAGCAGUGGGGAAUAUUGCACAAUGGGCGCAAGCCUGAUGCAGCCAUGCCGCGUGUAUGAAGAAGGCCUUCGGGUUGUAAAGUACUUUCAGCGGGGAGGAAGGGAUGAAGGUUAAUAACCUUCGUCAUUGACGUUACCCGCAGAAGAAGCACCGGCUAACUCCGUGCCAGCAGCCGCGGUAAUACGGAGGGUGCAAGCGUUUAAUCGGAAUUACUGGGCGUAAAGCGCAC